rnacentral:tRNA from 1 species
CACCUCCUUUCUAAGGAAUAAUUACGGAACCUGUACAUUUAUCGAAUACUUUGUUUAGUUUCCAGAGAUUUACUCUCUGUUAAAGAAUGGCUUAUGGGCCUAUAGCUCAGCUGGUUUAGAGCGCACGCCUGAUAAGCGUGAGGUCGAUGGUUCGAGUCCAUUUAGGCCCAUUCUUUUAUGAAAAUUUCAUAAUUUUCUUAUGGGGCCUUAGCUCAGCUGGGAGAGCGCCUGCUUUGCACGCAGGAGGUCAGCGGUUCGAUCCCGCUAGGCUCCAUUGAUAACGAAAGUUAUCAAAUGAUUUUGUUCUUUGAAAACUAGAUAUUGAUUUAUUUCUUAAAAAUAAACCGAGAACACCGCGUUUUAAAGAGUUUAAAACAAGAAUUAUAGUUCUUAAUCGCUAAACUCAUAACCUAUUAUCGUUAGAUAAUAUUAGGUUAAGUUAUUAAGGGCGUGCG